CCGCUCCCGCCGACGGUGUCCUUCCGCAUCUGCGUGUCCCCGGGCACAUGCUGGCCUGCUCCUUUUCUUCCGGCCGAGCACGCCAAGUCGAGCCGGCACUCCUUGUUGUUUUCCUGCGCAUGCGAAUUAGUACCAGCUCUGCUGAUGUAUGUUUCAGUUUGCGUCCCCUGCAGUGCAACCUAUGUGUGUCAGUUCCUUGCUCCUAUGUUGUUCGACCAAAUGCCUGAGUGAGACAGUCUCCACGCACAAACAUCUUUCCCAUGGCUCGCGUUGACACAUCUGCAACUCCUCUGCUAUCCCGUGUGGCCAACUAGUCCUAUCGUUGCAAGCCAAAGCCUACCACCGCACCAACUCCACUUGAUCCUUGUGUUGGCCGACAGUUACAGUAGCUGGGCCGCUGCAUUCCUUUUUCCUUGAUGCGCUAGACGCGAUCGUUCUGAUUCCCUGUAUGGUUCCGUGCUAAUCAACAUCAAUAUUCUAAGCUGCAAGCAUGUUGUAUGCAUGUACCUUCUCGUUCUCUGGUUGCCGGUCACAAUGGUGGAGCGACGAUAUUUCAUUACUUCUGCAACCACGACGACUACUUCAACACAGGAACAUUAAGACGGGGGCUAUGCGACUACUUCUCCAACAUCGGCGACUUCCGCCACUUUCGUUCCAAUCCGAUGUACGCUCUCCGAUCCGAUGCCCAUUUGCUUCUUUCCGGAUAGGAUCACGAAGUGUUGAUGUGAGAUACGA